GAGCACAGGACUUCUAGGCCUCCACUGGAUUUCUGGACCUUUGCUUCUGGGCCUGGUGUGUAAAAAUUCCUGAUCUUCUUAUGUGCUAUACAGAUAGUUGAAGGUUAAUUAGCAGUAUAACUAUAAAUAGUAAUGCUGCCAGUCUCCUUCAGACAAGA
rnacentral:snoRNA from 1 species